AGCGGCGGACGGGUGAGUAACACGUGGGCAACCUGCCCUGGAGCGGGGGAUAACACUUGGAAACAGGUGCUAAUACCGUAUAACAACAAAAACCGCAUGGUUUUUGUUUGAAAGGUGGCUUCGGCUAUCACUCCAGGAUGGGCCCGCGGUGCAUUAGCUAGUUGGUAAGGUAACGGCUUACCAAGGCAAUGAUGCAUAGCCGAGUUGAGAGACUGAUCGGCCACAAUGGAACUGAGACACGGUCCAUACUCC
rnacentral:rRNA from 1 species